rnacentral:rRNA from 1 species
UACAGAGGUCUCAAGCGUUGUUCGGAUUCAUUGGGCGUAAAGGGUGCGUAGGCGGCGCGGUAAGUCGGGGUGUGAAAUCUCGGAGCUUAGCUCCGAAACUGCAUUCGAUACUGCCGUGCUUGAGGACUGGAGAGGAGACUGGAAUUUACGGUGUAGCGGUGAAAUGCGUAGAUAUCGUAAGGAAGACCAGUGGCGAAGGCGGGUCUCUGGACAGUUCCUGACGCUGAGGCACGAAGGCCAGGGGAGCAAACGGG